GUAGGAUGUUUGCUUCUGGUGGUGGGAAGUUUCUUGUGUGCAUGCGCGCGUGUGUGUGUGUGUGUGUGUGUGUGUAGGUAUACGCAAGUUCUGACUCUUCAGAACUUUAUCUUCAACUCAAUGAUUUUCUUAAGCCGUAUGGAGGAGUUGUGUGUCGUUCAAUAGCUCGUCAGGGGAAGUGAGACAAAGAGUCCUUUAGAAGCAGAGUGCUCUGCUGUGCGUGUCAUUUUUGCAUGUGUGUAUUUGCUUUACUGACGACAGAGGCGCAGGUUCGGGCAGGGUGGGUGUGUGACGCUGUGUGGGUGUGAGGGGAGGUUCCUCAGCUCCAAGCUCUCCGUCAUUCAUACACUCAGGAGGUCCAAACACACACACAAACGCACACAAACACACACCGGGGGAGAGAGGAGACAACGGCAAGAGAUCAGCUGCUGAAGCACGAGGAGAAAAAGAGUGGGAGAAAAAGGAAAACAAGGAAGUGAAAAGAUGACAAUUGGCAAGAACUCCGGGAGAAGCUCCGUCCGGGCGCCAAAGUUCCUCGACAAAUCCACCGGCUUCUACGGUCGCCUCGAUGAGCCCGAGGCCGCCGGACAAGGAGAGGAGGCGAGGGGAGGAGAAGGCGUAGAGGAGGCGUGCAACAGGACGGGGGACAGCGGCCGGGACGGGAGUGUGGUGCACGUCUCCGGGGCAGGUGAGAGGGAGGAGGUCGAGGCGUUUGACCUCGAGGAAGGGAUGAUGGAGGACGACGGGGAGACUCUCCUCCAGAGGAAGCCCAGCCGCCGCAGCGGCAGGUGGAGAAGGAGCUCCAGGAGGAAGCAGAAGGUGGGGAGAGGCGAGGAGGGCGAGAGCCCAGUCGACCCGCCCGCCCCGGAGGACACCAGGGGGAUGGUCCCAGAUGAGAUGGCGGAAGUGAAGGAGACGGAGGAAGAGGAGGAGGAGAAGGCCGGCCGGGGGAAGGAGCCCGAGGUCGUUCACUUCCCGAUUCGGGAGGAUACCGAUGACCAGGUCCUGAUCCGAGACAAGAAGAGGGGGCGAGAAGAGGAAGGAGAGGAGGAGAGGAGGAUGAAGAGGGAACAAGAGGAGGGAAUGAGGGUGGUGAAGAGGAACUCUGUGAGGAAUUACCGCAAGGCCUUGGACCGAGCCUUCCGUCGGGGGUGGGAGGCCUUCAUCGCCAACCUCUACAGCGUCACGCUCACACCUGUGACCUCAUCAUCACCUCCGUCUUCUUCGCCAUCGCUGAAGAAGAAAGUGCAACACAACUCUGUGUUGGCUGAGUUUCAGUAGAUCCCGCGACCUUCAUGGACAAUAAAAUGCACCCUUUCUUGAUGUUGAGUUUUUCGAUGAGGAUGCGCGUCACACGUUAGAGCUCAGAAACCUCAAUUAGUUGUGUAAGUUACUUGUCAUCAUGACGUUUUACUGCCUCGUCUCAUUGUGGUGCACAUUAGUUUAAACUGCAGGGAUUCACGGUUGCUUCUAUGGUGAAGUUCUUUUUUUCGUGACUGAGUUCAGCUGCUUCUCGCUUCUCGUGUCCACCUUCGGAUUAAGCCUUAACAUCUGAGUUCCUCAAAUUUUUUCCACUACCAAGAGUUUAGAGUGCAAAUAAUCUUUGCAUCUUUGGUUUAGCGCUGUGAAACUUCAACGGUGUUGAUGUGCAACCAAAAAGAACAAAAAGGUUUGACUGCAUGAGCAAUGGCUGAUUAGUGGAGUUCGGUGAAGGAGAUUUCUUGCUGCCUGACAGCUAAUCAGUAAAAAGAGUAGAAAAAACACCCCCAUCUGUUUAAAUCUCUUAACGUUGGUAAAAAACAUAAGUUUCCCAGGAACACACAUGAGCAUACAGUUGGCCAGUGUUUGACUUCUUCACUGUGUUCUGAUGAAGGUUAUUUAACCUGAAGGGACAUUCAAGCAGAGUUUCUGCAUGUACGUGUGUGUGUAUGUGUGCCAAUAAGAAAGAGAUAUUUGAUAUUUCCGGGUUUGUAAAUCAGAGUGUGUUUCGAUUGUUACCGUUGAAGAUGCGCAUCUUGCUUGUUAGAGAAGUUUUACUUGCCUAAAACAUCAAUACAAUACAUACGAUUGUGCAAAGAAGACAUUAUAUAAGUGAUUUAAUAUAUUAAUUAUUUUCCCUUGUUACCAUGAACAUAUAAUGUUUACAAGAGUCCUGCUGUAAUUACCUUUCAUCCACUUUAUACACCUUUUGCAAACCAGACUGAAUAUUGUGGUUGUAUAUAAUGAUUAUUUAAAAAUGUCCCUUUUUAAUAAAAAUCCCUUUCUUUCUUAAUCAAAGCAUCCUCUGUCAUGAGACAGUCAAAGAAAGACUUUUAUGAAUGAAUAAAGACUUAAUUUAUUGUACUGGUCGUAUUUUCUGGUAUGGCGUUUAAUGCAGUAUGAAUGGAUCUCUCUGUAUUUUAAUUUGCUGAUGUCUGUUAUUGUUUGGAUGAGUUAGAAUAAAUAAGAUGUAAAAGACAGAACCACAUCAUCAUGACGCCAAGCAGCUUGAACAGGUGAAACGUUGCUGUUUUUUGUGCAUUUGGCCCAUGAUAAUAGAGAAAAGAUAUGAGUACAGACUUAUACAUAUGGGUCAUAAAAGUACUUAAGGUGUAUUCAUUUGUGUUCAUCUUAUAAAUAUAUAGGUAUGUUUUGUCCAUGCAAUUUAUUUUAAAAAGAAAUAUUCCAAAGAAAAAGCACAAAGAUCUUCUGUUGAAAAAAUAAAAAUAAAACAUACCUCCUAUUCUCUAUCAUAACGUCAAUAGCAAAAAUAAACUUUUCGCUUUUUUGUCUUGGUAUGAAUUUACAGUGUAUUGUGAUAUAAAAUAGAUGAAUUACGAAGAAAAUGUCGCUUUGCCGACACCAUGUGGAUGUAAACCAAUAUUUUUUCUUAACGG
ensembl:lncRNA